GAUGAAGAACGUAGCGAAAUGCGAUACGUAAUGUGAAUUGCAGAAUUCAGUGAAUCAUCGAAUCUUUGAACGCACCUUGCGCUCUUUGGUAUUCCGAAGAGCAUGCUUGUUUGAGUGUCAUGAAAAUAUCAACCUUGACUUGGGUUUUGUGCUCUAGUCUCGGCUUGGAAUUGGGUGCUUGCCGCUUUUACGAGCGGCUCACCUUAAAUGUAUUAGCUGGAUCUGUCUUUGAGACUUGGUUUGACUUGGCGUAAUAAGUAUUUCGCUAAGGACAUUCUUCGGAGUGGCCUCGUUUCUAGGACGCUUGUCCGCUUUCCAAUACAAGUUCCACCUCGUGGACAUGACUUUUUAUUAUCUGGCCUCAAAUCAGGUAGGACUACCCGCUGAACUUAAGCAUAUCAAUAAGCGGAGGA
rnacentral:misc_RNA from 1 species